GAAUUACUGGGCGUAAAGCGCACGCAGGCGGUUUGUUAAGUCAGAUGUGAAAUCCCCGGGCUUAACCUGGGAACUGCAUCCAAUACUGCAAGGCUAGAGUAUGGUAGAGGGAAGUGGAAUUUCAGGUGUAGCGGUGAAAUGCGUAGAGAUCUGGAGGAAUACCGAUGGCGAAGGCAGCCAUCUGGCCUAACACUGACGCUGA
rnacentral:rRNA from 1 species